GCUUUCGUGGUGUAGUGGUCAGCAUGCACCCUCGACGGGUAUUUGAGAGGUCCGUGGUUCGAAUCCCGGCGAAGGCG
rnacentral:tRNA from 1 species